ncrna:unclassified sequences DTF2800 RNA
CCGCCGUCAGCUGGACGGAGUCAUGAACCGUUGCUCAACGGCUCACGGCGGACAAGUUAAUAAUGACGGCUGCCUUUUGAGCGGGUUGCCGCAGACCGAAACGGAGAAUCUCUCUGUCGGGCUGUGGUUAAUUUUCUGCACCCUUUUUGCAGCCGAACC